AGAUUACACUUUGACUCCUGUCUGAUCAAUGCCAAUACUGCAAUAGCUUUAUUGAUCCCUCUAAGCAGAGCGAGGAUGUCAGGCAUCGUGGUGCCAACCCUGUUGCUAACAUCCAUACUGGAGAGCAGGACUGCAAUGCUCAGAGUGCAAGAACAAAACUUAAAUCAAUUGAGCACUGACACCAUUUUAUCCGUGUGUGAAACAAGGCAUAAAAUAGGCAUUUCACAAGGACCCUUCCUUCUUUAGAGGUCUAUGAUGCGCCUGAUGGAGCGAAGCUUGGAGCUAAUGCCUCCCCAGUCACUGUAUCUACGGUACUGGCCACGCCUCAGGUAGUAGUGGUGUCCUCUAUAGUUGGCCUGGUCGUACAUCAAGCCAGUGGCCAUCCAUCACGUUGCAGGAGUUGAAGUCAGACAUACUGAAACGGUCCAUACAGUUGGGGCAGUCGUCGUCCAGCUCCAUCAUCUGGCCUCCCAUGUCAGCACGGUCGUACAGCCUCAUCCUGAAGUUACCACGGUGCUGGAGGGGAUCUGGUUUCUACAUUCUUAACAAGCUUUAUGAAUCGUCAAUACAAAAACGACUAUUUAGAUUCUCACAUGUACGCAAACAAAAUGCAAAAUGUCAAUGUGACUGAUUUAAGGGAUUGAAGAUUGAUUAUGUAAUUCAUAAAUUGUUUGAUACUGAUGAUUAACCACUUAGGAUCCCUUUCUACACCCUCGUAGAUGGCCAGGUUAUAUACUAUGAUCAAAACUUCUACACCCUCGUAGAUGGCCAGGUUAUAUACUAUGAUCAAAACUUCUACACCCUCGUAGAUGGCCAGGUUAAAUACUAUGAUCAAAACCUAGAUUAUGUGUAAAUACUCUCAAAUACACAAUGAUACAGUAAGUAGUUAAUAUGUGUUUUAGAAAUUUUCUGAAGAUAUCAGUAGCCUUGAGAAUAAUAUUUGACUGUUCCCUUACCAUGGGGAUCAUGCGGCAGGACUUGACACAGCCGUUCAUUCCCUUACCAUGGGGAUAAUGCGGCAGGACUUGACACAGCCGUUCAUUCCCUUACCAUGGGGAUAAUGCGGCAGGACUUGACACAGUCGUUCAUUCCCUUACCAUGGGGAUCAUGCGGCAGGACUUGACACAGUCAUUCAUUCUCAUCAUACGCAUGUAGUUGGAGUACUCUCCCUUCCUCAGGAAGUGCUGGGGUCCCAUGAAGUUGGGGCGCUCGUAGAUCAUGAACAUACCGCUCUCCACCCUGAUGGACUAGCAGCGGUUGAACAUGGAGUGAAGAUCGGCACAGAUACUAAUGCACUCAUGGUGACUGCCGCCGAAGUCCUUGUCCUUGUAAAAGAUGUUCUGAUGGAAGAACAGGAAUGAUUUUGAAGUAGCAUUAAUAAGAAAAUCUAUGGAAAAACAAAGUAAAGAUGUGAUACAGGCGGCCUACAGAUAUACUGUUUGAGGAAAUUACUCUAAAUAAGAAAGUAUACACCGAGAGUACAAAAGAAAAACAUUUGUUUUAAAGUUCAUUUCCUGCAAUUCUACACAUUUUGCUAUAGGGUGGAGGCAAAUGUUUGCAGUUUUUAAUAUGCUGACAUGGGCUAAUUGAGUGAUUGCUAAUACACAACCAAAUUGCACCUGGUGUAUUCUGUUAUUCAAACUCUCAACAGUAAGUUGAGACCCCGACUGGGUUCUUAAAAAAUAUACAGUAAAUAUAUUUUUGGGUGAAAUUGGUCCGUGGGCAUUUUGUGGCUUGUUUGUUUUGGUACCUAUCAACACCCCUCAUUAUCACCAUCUAUGCACGCAACCACUCACUUAAACUACUGAUUACUGACUACACACACCAUUGUUAAUUGUAAAUAGUUUACUUUAGUUCAUAAAUAUAUUUUUGUUAUUCCUUGAUCUCAUCGUUGUCUCCCUUUUUGUUGUGGGCUAACAUGCCCACCUAUCCCAGACAUCAAUCAGAUGAUACACCCAUUCACUCUGUAGCUAAAAGAUUCAAUAAUACUCAAAUCUUUGACAUGAUUAGAUCGAUGUGUGAAGUAUUACUCAUGGGGUAGCAGUCUGGCAGGUUACCCAGGUAACACAGCCACACCUCAGAGACAGGUCUGGCAGGUUACCCAGGUAACACAGCCACACCUCAGAGACAGGUCUGGCAGGUUACCCAGGUAACACAGCCACACCUCAGAGACAGGUCUGGCAGGUUACCCAGGUAACACAGCCACACCUCAGAGACAAGCCUGGCAGGUUACCCGGGUAACACAUCCACACCUCAGAGACAAGCCUGGCAGGUUACCCAGGUAACACAGCCACACCUCAGAGACAAGCCUGGCAGGUUACCCGGGUAACACAUCCACACCUCAGAGACAAGCCUGGCAGGUUACCCAGGUAACACAGCCACACGUCAGAGACAGACCAUUAGGUUGCUCACCAGAAGGUACGGGAGCGGAUGGAGUCAUUGUAAUCAUCCAGCGCUGAUACUCUGG
rnacentral:lncRNA from 1 species